rnacentral:rRNA from 1 species
GACGAACGCUGGCGGCGUGCUUAACACAUGCAAGUCGAGCGGAAAGGCCCUUUCGGGGGUACUCGAGCGGCGAACGGGUGAGUAACACGUGAGUAAUCUGCCCCUGGCUUUGGGAUAGCCACCGGAAACGGUGAUUAAUACCGGAUACGACCACUUCUCGCAUGGGAUGGUGGUGGAAAGUUUUUCGGCCAGGGAUGUGCUCGCGGCCUAUCAGCUUGAUGGUGAGGUAAUGGCUCACCAUGGCCUCGACGGGUAGCCGGCCUGAGAGGGUGACCGGUAACACUGGGGCUGAGAAACGGCCCACACUACUACGGGAGGCAGCAGUGGGGAAUAUUGGACAAUGGGCGGAAGCCUGAUCCAGCAACGCCGCGUGAGGGAUGACGGCCUUCGGGUUGUAAACCUCUUUCAGCAGGGACGAAGCGCAAGUGACGGUACCUGCAGAAGAAGCACCGGCCAACUACGUGCCAGCAGCCGCCGCCG